CCUACGGGAGGCUGCAGUGGGGAAUAUUGGACAAUGGGGGGAACCCUGAUCCAGCCAUGCCGCGUGUGUGAAGAAGGCCCUCGGGUUGGAAAGCACUUUCAGUGAGGAAGAACGCCUGGUGGUUAAUACCCAUCAGGAAAGACAUCACUCACAGAAGAAGCACCGGCUAACUCCGUGCCAGCAGCCGCGGUAAUACGGAGGGUGCGAGCGUUAAUCGGAAUUACUGGGCGUAAAGCGCGCGUAGGUGGCUUGAUAAGCCGGUUGUGAAAGCCCCGGGCUCAACCUGGGAACGGCAUCCGGAACUGUCAAGCUAGAGUGCAGGAGAGGAAGGUAGAAUUCCCGGUGUAGCGGUGAAAUGCGUAGAGAUCGGGAGGAAUACCAGUGGCGAAGGCGGCCUUCUGGACUGACACUGACACUGAGGUGCGAAAGCGUGGGUAGCAAACAGGAUUAGAUACCCUAGUAGUC
rnacentral:rRNA from 1 species